rnacentral:rRNA from 1 species
UGGGUUGUUGCUGACCUCUUCGGAGGUAUGUGCACGCCUGCCAUCGUUUCAUUCUCCCUUCCACCUGUGCACUCAUUGUGGAUCAAGCCACCAAUCCUUCAGGCAUUCAUUGUCUGGCAUGAGGACUUGCACAUUGCUGCUGUUCUUGGGUGGUUCUGGUCUACGUCUUUAUCAACUCCAUUGUAUGUGAUUGAAUGUAUGAUUUGGGUACUUUACGGCCCAUAAACCUUAUACAACUUUCAACAACGGAUCUCUUGGCUCUCGCAUCGAUGAAGAACGCAGCGAAAUGCGAUAAGUAAUGUGAAUUGCAGAAUUCAGUGAAUCAUCGAAUCUUUGAACGCACCUUGCGCUCCUUGGCAUUCCGAGGAGCAUGCCUGUUUGAGUGUCAUUAAAUCCUCAACUCCAUCUCCUUUGUGGUGAUUGGCGUUGGAUAUGGGAGCUGCUGGCUUACAAGUCGGCUCUCCUCAAAUGCAUUAGCAGGGCCACGCCACUGCAGCUUGGUAUUGAUAGUUGUCUUACCAGGCAAGCAGGUUAGCAAUGUGUCCAGCUUCUAGUCGUCUCUCC